rnacentral:rRNA from 1 species
AGGGCGUAUGGUGGAUGCCUUGGCAGACAGUACCGAUGAAGGACGUUUGAGGAUGCGAUAAUCCUAGGGGAGCCUCCAACAUGGCUUUGAUCCUAGGGUCUCCGAAUGGGGGAACCCGCCGGCCGUCAUGGGCCGGCACCGCCUAUGGGCGGGGGGUACGCAGGGAAGUGAAACAUCUCAGUACCUGCAGGAAGGGAUACUCCGUGAGUAGUGGCGAGCGAAAGCGGAUCAGACCAAACCGGUUGCGCGUGAUACCCGUCGGGGGUUGCGUUGCCGGUGUCGUGGGAUCACGUGUCCCGGUUCCGACGGGCCGGGCGGGAGUCAUAAAACGGCUUGCCAGGGGAACAGGCUUGAAGGCCUGGCCGUAGAGGGUGCCAGCCCCGUACCUGGACGUGAGCCGUCUUCCGAUCGUGUUGUCCCAAGUAGCGCGGGCCUCGUGGAAUCCCGCGUGAAUCAGCCCAGACCGUUGGGUAAGUCUAAGCAUACCUGUCUGACCGAUAGCGUACCAGUACCGUGAGGGAAAGGUGAAAAGCACCCCGGGAGGGGAGUGAAACAGUUCCUGAAACCGUGCGCCCACAAACCGUCGGAGCCUCCUUGUGGGGUGACGGCGUGCCUAUCGAAAAAUGAGUCUGCGAGUCAGUGGCGGGUGGCGAGCAUAAGCCGUGUGGCGUAUGCGUAGCGAAAGCGAGUCUUAAAAGGCGUUUGUAGUCGCUUGUCCUGGACCCGAAGCGGGAUGAUCUAGCCCUGGGCAGGUUGAAGCGCGGGUAAGACCGCGUGGAGGACCGAACCCACCUGGGUUGAAAACCGGGGGGAUGACCUGGGGCUAGGGGUGAAAGGCCAAUCAAAUUCCGUGAUAGCUGGUUCUCUCCGAAAUGCAUUUAGGUGCAGCGUCGGUCGAUUGCGUCGCGGGGGUAGAGCUACCGGAUGCUUGCGGGCCCUUGUUGGGUACCAACAGCAGCCGAACUCCGAAUACCGUUGACGUGUAUUCCGGCAGUGAGUCGGCGGGGGAUAAGCUCCGUCGUCGAGAGGGAGACAGCCCAGACCGUCGUCUAAGGUCCCGAAGCGUGUGCUAAGUGGGAAAGGAUGUGGAGUCGCAUAGACAGCCAGGAGGUUGGCUCAGAAGCAGCCAUCCUUGAAAGAGUGCGUAACAGCUCACUGGUCUAGUGGUUCCGCGCCGACAAUGUAGCGGGGCUCAAGCACACCACCGAAGACGCGGCAGCAAUCUUCAUGGUUGCUGGGUAGGAGAGCGUCCUGCGAGGGGCGAAGCGGCCGGGUAACCGUGCCGUGGACUUCGUGGGAGUGAGAAUGCAGACAUGAGUAGCGAGAGACGGGUGAGGAUCCCGUCCGCUGGAUGACCAAGGGUUCCGGGGCCACGUUCGUCGUCCCCGGGUGAGUCGGGUCCUAAGGCGAGGCCGACAGGCGUAGUCGAAUGGAUGAACGGGUGGAUAUUCCCGUACCGACCAUGGACCGGCAAAACCGAGACGGUGAGUACUAACCUCCGCCUCGUGGUGGUUCCUUCCUUCGGGUUGGUAUCGCCGCGUGGCGUUGGGAGCGUAGCCGCAGUAGGUCAGCGCAGGGGUGACACGGAAUGGGAGCCGGCCGCGGAGGUGGUUUUCCGUGGUCAAGCACGCAGCCAGUCAUGUAGGCAAAUCCGCAUGGCGUGCAUGGCGAGGUGUGAUGAUGGGAGCCGUUAUGGCUCGAUAUCCGGUUGUCCAGGCCGUCGAGAAAAGCCUCGGCGUGAGGGCCAUGGCCGCCCGUACCCCAAACCGACACUGGUGGUCAGGUAGAGAAUACCAAGGCGAUCGAGCGAAUCCUGGUCAAGGAACUCGGCAAAUCACUCCCGUGCCUUCGGUAUAAGGGAGACCCACUGGGGUGAAGGACCUUGCGUCCGGAGCUUUGGUGGGUGGCACAGACCAGGGGGUAGCGACUGUUUACCAAAAACACAGGUGCAUGCGAAGGCGAAAGCCGCUGUAUAUGCACUGACGCCUGCCCGGUGCCGGAAGGUUAAGAGGAUCCGUCAAUCCCUUCGGGAUGAAGCGGUGAAUUCAAGCCCCGGUAAACGGCGGUGGUAACUAUAACCAUCCUAAGGUAGCGAAAUUCCUUGUCGGGUAAGUUCCGACCUGCACGAAUGGCGUAA